rnacentral:pre_miRNA from 7 species
GACCGCCAGUGAAAAUCGAUUUUCACUGGCGGUUUUCUUAAGGAACCGCCAGUGAAAAUCGAUUUUCACUGGCGGUC